UGGGGAAUAUUGGACAAUGGGCGCAAGCCUGAUCCAGCCAUGCCGCGUGUGUGAAGAAGGCCUUUUGGUUGUAAAGCACUUUAAGCGAGGAGGAGGCUACUUGGAUUAAUACUCUAGGAUAGUGGACGUUACUCGCAGAAUAAGCACCGGCUAACUCUGUGCCAGCAGCCGCGGUAAUACAGAGGGUGCGAGCGUUAAUCGGAUUUACUGGGCGUAAAGCGUGCGUAGGCGGCUUUUUAAGUCGGAUGUGAAAUCACUGAGCUUAACUUAGGAAUUGCAUUCGAUACUGGGAAGCUAGAGUAUGGGAGAGGAUGGUAGAAUUCCAGGUGUAGCGGUGAAAUGCGUAGAGAUCUGGAGGAAUACCGAUGGCGAAGGCAGCCAUCUGGCCUAAUACUGACGCUGAGGUACGAAAGCAUGGGGAGCAAACAGG
rnacentral:rRNA from 1 species